GCAUUCGUGGUGUAGUGGUCAGCACGAUCGACGCGUAUUCGGGAAGUCCGUGGUUCGAGUCCCGGCGAAGGCA
rfam:Stegodyphus mimosarum contig39500, whole genome shotgun sequence.